GUAGUCUGCCAUACGCAGGAAGACCCGCUGAACUGAAGCAUCUCAUUAAGCGGAGGAAAAGAAACUAACUAGGAUUCCCUUAGUAAAGGCGAUCGAAAAGGGAACAGCCCAACGUCUUAAUCCCGCAAGGGAAAUGUAGUCGGUUCACCUAUUGCACUGGUCUAAGUCAGAUGGAAUGCUGCGCGAUUCAGAGUAAAAGCCUCGUAUGACCAACCGCAAGCUUACGAUGGACCGGGGAGAGUCGGAUACUUUGAGAGUAGUGUCUUAAGGGGGUGGUAUGUCCCAUCCAAGGCUAAAUAACGUGAGGAGACCGAUAGAUUACAAGUAGUGUGAACGAAAGAUGAAAAGAACUCUAAAACAGAGGGUGAAAAGUUCCUGAACUUGCUUAGGGUUAAGGCUAUUUAUAGUACCCGUCUUGAAACACGGAUUAGGGAGUUUAUCUGUAGUGCGAGUCUUUGCACGUUAACUGUAAAGGCGUAGAGAAAGCAACUGGCGUUUGCAUGGCUACUGAGCAUUACUGAUAGGACCCGAAAGGUGGUGAACUUUGCCUGCACAGGUUGAAGUCAGGGGAAACUCUGAUGGAGGACCGUACGGGUUAUUGAUGUGCAAA
rnacentral:ncRNA from 1 species